CUCAGGAUGAACGCUGGCGGCGUGCUUAACACAUGCAAGUCGAACGAUGAUGGGAGCUUGCUCCUGGAUUAGUGGCGAACGGGUGAGUAACACGUGAGUAACCUGCCCUUAACUCUGGGAUAAGCCUGGGAAACUGGGUCUAAUACCGGAUAUGACUCCUCAUCGCAUGGUGGGGGGUGGAAAGCUUUAUUGUGGUUUUGGAUGGACUCGCGGCCUAUCAGCUUGUUGGUGAGGUAAUGGCUUACCAAGGCGACGACGGGUAGCCGGCCUGAGAGGGUGACCGGCCACACUGGGACUGAGACACGGCCCAGACUCCUACGGGAGGCAGCAGUGGGGAAUAUUGCACAAUGGGCGCAAGCCUGAUGCAGCGACGCCGCGUGAGGGAUGACGGCCUUCGGGUUGUAAACCUCUUUCAGUAGGGAAGAAGCGAAAGUGACGGUACCUGCAGAAGAAGCGCCGGCUAACUACGUGCCAGCAGCCGCGGUAAUACGUAGGGCGCAAGCGUUAUCCGGAAUUAUUGGGCGUAAAGAGCUCGUAGGCGGUUUGUCGCGUCUGCCGUGAAAGUCCGGGGCUCAACUCCGGAUCUGCGGUGGGUACGGGCAGACUAGAGUGAUGUAGGGGAGACUGGAAUUCCUGGUGUAGCGGUGAAAUGCGCAGAUAUCAGGAGGAACACCGAUGGCGAAGGCAGGUCUCUGGGCAUUAACUGACGCU
rnacentral:rRNA from 1 species